UCUCCGCUCGCAGGCUGGGAAGUUGAGGUGCUCCUGGAAUAGCCCCCCUCAUCGCUGCCCAUAGCGGGGUCGUGGAAGCAGGCUGGGGCAUGGAUGCAGAAGGAGGACAACCAGAUCAGCAGUGAAGGACUGUAAGACACCCAGCACACAGACAUGAAGACGGUGUGUGUUAAGGCAGCAACAUUGAAAAGAGAAUGCAAUACUCCAGCAAAACCAAACACACAGCCUGAAAAACCAGUCCACGAGGAGCACCGGGACUGUUAGGACUCUGGAAUCCCAUCUUCAAGAUACAGCAAAGCUGGACCAAUGCAGGCCUGCGAUCCAAGCUACAGGGGAGGCUGAGGCGGGAGGACCACAGGUCAAGAUCUACCUUGAGACACUCAGACCUGGUGUCCAGACUUAAAAGGCCAAGCACAGUGGCGCACACCUUUAAUCCCAGCACUUGAGACAGGCAGGAGGAUCUCUGAGCAUCUC